rnacentral:rRNA from 1 species
GACGAACGCUGGCGGCGUGCUUAACACAUGCAAGUCGAACGGAAAGGCCCUGCUUUUGUGGGGUGCUCGAGUGGCGAACGGGUGAGUAACACGUGAGUAACCUGCCCUUGACUUUGGGAUAACUUCAGGAAACUGGGGCUAAUACCGGAUAGGAGCUCCUGCUGCAUGGUGGGGGUUGGAAAGUUUCGGCGGUUGGGGAUGGACUCGCGGCUUAUCAGCUUGUUGGUGGGGUAGUGGCUUACCAAGGCUUUGACGGGUAGCCGGCCUGAGAGGGUGACCGGCCACAUGGGGACAGAGAUGGGGCCCAGACUGCUAGGGGAGACAGCAGGGGAGAAUUUAAAAGAGGGGGAGGGAGCGGUAGACGGCGCCCCCGCGUGGGGGAUGCGGGCCUUGGGGUUUAAAGCGGCUUGCGCCGGGGAAGGAGGGGGGGGAACGUAAAGGGGUAAAGAAGCCCCGGCUAACAACGUG